ensembl:lncRNA
CUACAUAACAUUUAAAAAAAACACCAGGUAAUAUUUAAUCAUUACUUUUUACCAACUCCAGGAUCUCGUCAGGAUAACAACGGUCUCUGGUUUAGGGCACUUGACCUUAGGAAGUCACUGAAUCAUCUCACAAUGGUGAAAUUUCUCCAAAUCCCAGCGGCUGAGUGUGAAGCAAGUAACCUGACGGGUUCUUGGUGUCACCUGAAUUUCCAAGAAGCUGAUCUCACAGGAUGAGUGAUCUGCUGUGAAGAUUGUAUGGAGACAUCAAACUAAGAAUAACUACUCUGAUCCACAGAAAAAGAGUUCUCAAUGCCGACUCUCCCCAACUCUCCCUCCAGUGGCUUUUGCUGUUACUGUUUGAGACACACGUUUGCUACACAGCCUACUCAUGUCAGAUUCAUGAUUCUCCUGCUGUAACCUAAGUGCUCAGAUUGCAGCAUGCUCCACCAUGGCCAACUGUUGGCUAGUCUUUUUAAUUCGUAAUUUGAAAAUGGUGACUUACUGUUUGUAUUGCCGUUAGUAUCUGUAUUUACAGGACACAGUAGAGGAAGCUAUUUAAUAAACUUAAGUAGACAAUUUUCC